GCUUUAUAGAAGCCAGAGUACAGGUGAACUUACACUCCUAUAACUUCACGGGAUAGAGAAUCAUACAAAUUCAUUUUAUGAAGGCAUAUAAUUUUCACUAUAGACUGCCUGCUGGCACUUACAGACAGGAACGUGAUUUCGGCCAAGACUGAAAAAGGAGUCACGGUAAGAUCUGGAGAGGCUACUGGCGGCAUGUGGACCUUCCCUGCACUGCUAUGUGACAGACAGGCUUUCAGUCAAGCAGUCCUCAGCUUUGGCUUCACAGUGGAAUAACAUGUGGGAACCUUAAAAAUGACUGGUUGCAACCCCAAAGAUUCAGAUUUACCUGAUGUGGACAUCUGGAUAUUUUCUUAAACCUACCUAGGGAGUACUACAUCUUCAACCAAUGUUCAGGAGAGAUAUAAGAAAUACCUGCA